AGCUUGGAAGCAGCUAUUCAUUCAAAGAGUGCGUAACAGCUCACUGGUCGAGCGGAGCCGCGUGGAUGAUGAUCGGGCAUCAAGACCGUCGCCGAAGCCGAGGACGACGCGCCUUAGCGCGCGCCGUGGUAGGGGAGCAUUCCGGUCGGCGCCGAAGGCGCGGCGCGAGCCGUGCUGGAGCGUCCGGAAAAGAAAAUGUAGGCAUGAGUAACGACAAGAGAUGUGUGAACAUCUCCGCCGAAAACCCAAGGUUUCCGGGGCCACGCUAAACGGCCCCGGGUCAGCCGGGAGCUAAGGGUAAGCCGAACGGUGAUCCCGAUGCCGAUGCGGUCAACAUUCCGCAGCCGGCGCGCCAGGCGCACACGUGACCGAGGAGUGACACUGCCGCGGGGAGACGGAAUUCCCCGUUGAAGGCCGUAGGGAGACCGAAAGCCGACAGUACGGCGAGCCUUCGGGCGAGCCGACAGAGCAGGUAACCAUACUCGCGAGAAAAGCGUGUGCGCGCCAAGCGUCGCGCCGCCCGUACCGUAAACCGACACAGGUGGGUGGGGAGAGAAUCCUUAGGCGCUCGAGUGAAUCACGGCCAAGGAACUAGGCAAAUUGACCCCGUAACUUCGGGAUAAGGGGUCCCGCGGCGACGCGGGCGCAGAGAAAUGGCCCAGGCGACUGUUUACCAAAAACAUAUGGCUAUGCGAAAUCGAUAAGAUGACGAAUAUGGCCUGACACCUGCCCGGUGCCGGAAGGUUAAGAGGGGGGGUCACCGAAAGGGAAGCCCUGAAUUGAAGCCCCGGUAAACGGCGGCCGUAACUAUAACGGUCCUAAGGUAGCGAAAUUCCUUGUCGGGUAAGUUCCGACCUGCACGAAUGGUGUAACGAUCUGGGCGCUGUCUCAGCCGUGAGCUCGGUGAAAUUGUAGUGGCGGUGAAGAUGCCGCCUACCCGCAACGGGACGAAAAGACCCCGUGAACCUUUACUAUAGCUUAGCGCUGAUCUUGGACGUCGGAUGUGUAGCAUAGGUGGGAGGCUUCGAGGCGCGGCCGCCAGGUCGCGAUUAGCCGCCAAGUGAAAUACCACCCUUCCGUCGUCUGGGGUCUAACUUCGCGAGAAGGACACCGCUUGGUGGGUAGUUUGACUGGGGUGGUCGCCUCCAAAAGAGUAACGGAGGCUUCCCAAGGUCCGCUCAGGACGAAUGGCAACCGUCCGCAGAGUGCAGUGGCAAAAGCGGGCUUGACUGGGAGACAAACAGGUCGAGCAGGUACGAAAGUAGGGCAAAGUGAUCCGGCGGUUCCUCAUGGGAGGGCCGUCGCUCAUAGGACAAAAGGUACUCCGGGGAUAACAGGCUGAUCGCUCCCAAGAGCUCA
rnacentral:rRNA from 1 species